GACGAACGCUGGCGGCGUGCUUAACACAUGCAAGUCGAACGGAAAGGCCCUGCUUUUGUGGGGUGCUCGAGUGGCGAACGGGUGAGUAACACGUGAGUAACCUGCCCUUGACUUUGGGAUAACUUCAGGAAACUGGGGCUAAUACCGGAUAGGAGCUCCUGCUGCAUGGUGGGGGUUGGAAAGUUUCGGCGGUUGGGGAUGGACUCGCGCCUUAUCAGCUUGUUGGUGGGGUAGUGGUUUACCAAGGCUUUGACGGGUAGCCGGCCUGAGAGGGUGACCGGCCACAUUGGGACUGAGAUACGGCCCAGACUCCUACGGGAGGCAGCAGUGGGGAAUAUUGCACAAUGGGCGGAAGCCUGAUGCAGCAACGCCGCGUGCGGGAUGACGGCCUUCGGGUUGUAAACCGCUUUCGCCUGUGACGAAGCGUGAGUGACGGUAAUGGGUAAAGAAGCACCGGCUAACUACGU
rnacentral:rRNA from 1 species